UACGAAGGGGGCAAGCGUUGUUCGGAAUUACUGGGCGUAAAGGGUGCGUAGGCGGCCCGCCAAGUCAGAUGUGAAAGCCCAGGGCUCAACCCUGGAACUGCAUUUGAAACUGGUGGGCUAGAGUCUUGGAGAGGUAAGUGGAAUUCCCAGUGUAGAGGUGAAAUUCGUAGAUAUUGGGAAGAACAUCAAUGGCGAAGGCAGCUUACUGGACAAUUACUGACGCUGAGGCACGAAAGCGUGGGGAGCAAACAGG
rnacentral:rRNA from 1 species